AGCGAACGCCGGCGGCAGGCCUAACACAUGCAAGUCGAACGAAGUCUUCGGACUUAGUGGCGGACGGGUGAGUAACACGUGGGAACGUACCUUUUGGUUCGGAACAACUCAGGGAAACUUGAGCUAAUACCGGAUGAGCCCUUAGGGGGAAAGAUUUAUCGCCGAAAGAGCGGCCCGCGUUAGAUUAGCUAGUUGGUGAGGUAAGGGCUCACCAAGCCUACGAUCUAUAGCUGGUCUGAGAGGAUGAUCAGCCACACUGGGACUGAGACACGGCCCAGACUCCUACGGGAGGCAGCAGUGGGGAAUCUUGCGCAAUGGGCGAAAGCCUGACGCAGCCAUGCCGCGUGAAUGAUGAAGGUCUUAGGAUUGUAAAAUUCUUUUACCAGGGACGAUAAUGACGGUACCUGGAGAAAAAGCCCCGGCUAACUUCGUGCCAGCCGCCGCCGUAAAAC
rnacentral:rRNA from 1 species